AAGUCGUAACAAGGUUUCCGUAGGUGAACCUGCGGAAGGAUCAUUAACACUACUUUCUAUCUUAUAAACAUCCGAGAACCGUUGAGAGUGCCACCCGGCUGAGAUCGCUAGGCAAUGGUAUGGAUUCCGAGAGUCUGCCACAACGGACCGACGGAUUGGCCUGCGGUUACGAACACGCGUCUGCUGCUCACUUCUCAUUCGUGGGAAGCGAUGCCGGGCGCGUGAGUCCAACUCUGACCCGAUGGCCUAAUUACAGCCUCUUACCAUGGCUGGCCCUUUUUUUUCUUUAACCUGAACAACGUACUGAUUUCUAGUCUUGGAUUCUGAGAGCCUCACGGCUUUCUCUGGGGCUAAACCUUCUGAGCUCUCUUCGGAGGCUCUGAAACAAACACAACUCUUAACAGCGGAUAUCUCGGUUCUC
rnacentral:misc_RNA from 1 species